rnacentral:rRNA from 1 species
GACGGAGGAUGCAAGUGUUAUCCGGAAUCACUGGGCGUAAAGCGUCUGUAGGUGGUUUAAUAAGUCAACUGUUAAAUCUUGAGGCUCAACCUCAAAAUCGCAGUCGAAACUAUUAGGCUAGAGUAUAGUAGGGGUAAAGGGAAUUUCCAGUGGAGCGGUGAAAUGCGUAGAGAUUGGAAAGAACACCGAUGGCGAAGGCGGCCUGCUGGGCAGUUUAGCUGACACUGAGGCGCGACAGCGUGGGGAGCAAACAGG